UACGAAGGGAGCUAGCGUUGUUCGGAAUCACUGGGCGUAAAGCGCACGUAGGCGGAUGUGUCAGUCAGGGGUGAAAUCCCGGAGCUCAACUUCGGAACUGCCUUUGAUACAGCACGUCUUGAGUCCGAUAGAGGUGGGUGGAAUUCCUAGUGUAGAGGUGAAAUUCGUAGAUAUUAGGAAGAACACCGGUGGCGAAGGCGGCCCACUGGAUCGGUACUGACGCUGAGGUGCGAAAGCGUGGGGAGCAAACAGGAUUAGA
rnacentral:rRNA from 1 species